AGUGAACGCUGGCGGUAGGCCUAACACAUGCAAGUCGAACGGCAGCACAGUAAGAGCUUGCUCUUACGGGUGGCGAGUGGCGGACGGGUGAGGUAUACAUCGGAAUCUACUUUUUCGUGGGGGAUAACGUAGGGAAACUUACGCUAAUACCGCAUACGACCUACGGGUGAAAGCAGGGGAUCUUCGGACCUUGCGCGAUUGAAUGAGCCGAUGUCGGAUUAGCUAGUUGGCGGGGUAAAGGCCCACCAAGGCGACGAUCCGUAGCUGGUCUGAGAGGAUGAUCAGCCACACUGGAACUGAGACACGGUCCAGACUCCUACGGGAGGCAGCAGUGGGGAAUAUUGGACAAUGGGCGCAAGCCUGAUCCAGCCAUACCGCGUGUGUGAAGAAGGCCUUCGGGUUGUAAAGCCCUUUUGUUGGGAAGGAAAAGCAGCAGGUUAAUACCCCGCUGUUCUGACGGUACCCAAAGAAUAAGCACCGGCUAACUUCGUG
rnacentral:rRNA from 1 species